GCGGUUCCGCCGCACAGAAAAGGGUAAAAGGGAAGCGGGCGCAAAUCCCGCACGAUCUCGUCACUGUGAUAAGGGAACCUGCCGCCAGGGUGCGUUUGCACCGGUCACUGGGCAUCAGCCCGGGAAGGCGGCGGUGGGUGUUGAUCUUUCAGCCAGGAAACCUGCCUGCUG
rnacentral:ncRNA from 1 species